rnacentral:lncRNA from 1 species
CCAGCCUCAAGGCAGAAAGAAAAACACACAGUGAGAACUAUGGCCUAAAACAGCUAGAGGACUUCCCAAGCUCACCUUUUGUUUUGAGAUCCUGGGAGGACACUGAAGUUGACAUUGGUGCCGCAUGAGAACACGCAUGACACCUCUCCUCAUCCCACAGAUUCUCCAAGUCCCACAGAGGAUCUCCCGUUUGCUUUGUAUCAGCCAGCUCAUGCGGAGGGUGAAGAAGAAGCUAGGGAUAAAAAGGAUCUGAAUCUAAAGGGUGACAGUGGUGGGCUCUUAAUGUACUUCAAGGAAAGGUGGAAGAUAGUAGGCAUCAUGAGCUGGGGUUAUGGCUGUGGGUAGCACAACAUCCCAGGUGUAUAUACCUGAGUCAGUUUCUUUCUCAACUGGAUCUAUAACAUCCGGAAGAAAUGAAGCUUCUGCUGUUGUGAAGAUUCCUUCCGGGAACAGUUUUGCCCAUUCUCAUCCCUAAUCUCCUUCUCAUCACAACUAGGAGUUUCCACCCUGAGCAGGAUCUCAUUUCUCAAAGAAGAGUGCUUCCUUCAGACAUUUCAAGGCUUCCUUAAAGCAGCUGAGGGUCCUGGGUUCAAAUGCCA